ensembl:miRNA
UAUUAGGUUGGUGCAAAAGUAAUCACGGUUUUUGCAAUCAUUUUUAGUGUUUUUUGCCAUGAUUACUUUUGCACCAACUUAAUACAAAGCUU